CAGCAGCCGCGGGAAUACGUAGGUGGCAAGCGUUGUCCGGAAUUAUUGGGCGUAAAGGGCUCGCAGGCGGUUUCUUAAGUCUGAUGUGAAAGCCCCCGGCUCAACCGGGGAGGGUCAUUGGAAACUGGGAAACUUGAGUGCAGAAGAGGAGAGUGGAAUUCCACGUGUAGCGGUGAAAUGCGUAGAGAUGUGGAGGAACACCAGUGGCGAAGGCGACUCUCUGGUCUGUAACUGACGCUGAGGAGCGAAAGCGUGGGGAGCAAACAGGAUUAGAUACCCCUGUAGUCCCUGUCUUUAUACA
rnacentral:rRNA from 1 species